rnacentral:lncRNA from 1 species
UUAUUUUGUCUUAAUUGUGUUUGAUGCGUUUACGGAAGUGUUUUUUUGAGAAUAAGGUAGCAUGCAUGCUACCCGCUUCAUUUAUUGAACAGAUGAAUUAGGUUACAGGAGUGAGGCAGCCGGGCAUCGAACCGGAUGAAAAAAAACAAAAAGAAAAUCUAAAAUUGUUCAGUUACCGAUUAGACGACAAAAGUUGUUCCCAGGAAUUCGACAACUGUUUAACCUUACGAAAGUGUUAUUUAAAUAGAAGUGUUAUUAUUUAAGACGGUUACUGAAGUACGUACUGUUUAAAUGGAACUAUUUGAAAAUAACAAUUACAUGAUAUUUCAUUCAAA